AGAAAUGUCAAGGGACACUACAGGACUCUGAAGCAUGUGAUGAGAUCCCAGAGGACAAUGCAACAUGUCCAGUGUGUUCAUGUGUAUUCUCCUCUGCCACAAUUGAAAUGCAUGCCAGCAUGUGUGGUGAGAGGGACAUCGAUCCAUCAGAUGGCACAGUUGGAGGCGAGUUGGAGGCCCUAGAAGGUCCAUCCAGAAGUUUCUCAGUAGUAGCACCCACUGAUUCUACUA